rnacentral:rRNA from 1 species
UACAGAGGUCUCAAGCGUUGUUCGGAUUCAUUAGGCGUAAAGGGUGCGUAGGCGGCGCGGUAAGUCGGGUGUGAAAGUCUCGGGGCUUAACUCCGAAACUGCAUUCGAUACUGUCGUGCUAGAGUACAGAAGGGGCAACUGGAAUUCUCGGUGUAGCGGUGAAAUGCGUAGAUAUCAGGAAGAACACCCGUGGCGAAGGCGGCUCUCUGGGACGGUACUGACGCUGAGACGCGAAAGCGUGGGGAGCGAACAGG